CAGCAGCCGCGGGAAUACGAAGGGGGCUAGCGUUGUUCGGAAUUACUGGGCGUAAAGGGCGCGUAGGCGGCCAUUCAAGUUAGAUGUGAAAGCCCUGGGCUCAACCUAGGAAUUGCAUUUGAUACUGUUCGGCUUGAGUUCGGGAGAGGUGAGUGGAAUUCCCAGUGUAGAGGUGAAAUUCGUAGAUAUUGGGGAGAACACCAGUGGCGAAGGCGGCUCACUGGACCGACACUGACGCUGAGGCGCGAAAGCGUGGGGAGCAAACAGGAUUAGAUACCCCAGUAGUCCCUGUCUCUUAUAC
rnacentral:rRNA from 1 species